rnacentral:rRNA from 1 species
GACGAAGGUGGCGAGCGUUGUUCGGAAUCACUGGGCAUAAAGCGCACGUAGGCGGCGACGUAAGUUGGGUGUGAAAUCCCUCGGCCCAACCGAGGAACUGCGCCCAGUACUGCGUUGCUUGAGGAUCCAAGGGGUGCAUGGAAUUCCCGGUGGAGCGGUGAAAUGCGUUGAUAUCGGGAGGAACUCCGGCGGCGAAAGCGGUGCACUGGUGGAUUACUGACGCUGAGGUGCGAAAGCCAGGGGAGCAAAUGGG